rnacentral:rRNA from 1 species
UACGGGGGGGGCAAGCGUUGUUCGGAAUUACUGGGCGUAAAGGGCUCGUAGGUGGCCAACUAAGUCAGACGUGAAAUCCCUCAGCUUAACUGGGGAACUGCGUCUGAUACUGGAUGGCUUGAGUUUGGGAGAGGGAUGCGGAAUUCCAGGUGUAGCGGUGAAAUGCGUAGAUAUCUGGAGGAACACCGGUGGCGAAGGCGGCAUUCUGGACUGAACUGACACUGAACGACGAAAGCCAGGGGAGCAAACGGG